rnacentral:rRNA from 1 species
GAUGAACGCUGGCGGCGUGCCUAACACAUGCAAGUCGAGCGAUUCUCUUCGGAGAAGAGCGGCGGACGGGUGAGUAACGCGUGGGUAACCUGCCUCAUACACAUGGAUAACAUACCGAAAGGUAUGCUAAUACAAGAUGAUAUAAGAGAUUCGCAUGGGUUUCUUAUCAAAGCUCCCGGCGGUAUGAGAUGGACCCGCGUCUGAUUAGCUAGUUGGUAAGGUAACGGCUUACCAAGGCGACGAUCAGUAGCCGACCUGAGAGGGUGAUCGGCCACAUUGGAACUGAGACACGGUCCAAACUCCUACGGGAGGCAGCAGUGGGGAAUAUUGCACAAUGGGCGAAAGCCUGAUGCAGCAACGCCGCGUGAGCGAUGAAGGCCUUCGGGUCGUAAAGCUCUGUCCUCAAGGAAGAUAAUGACGGUACUUGAGGAGGAAGCCCCGGCUAACUACGUGCCAGCAGCCGCGGUAAUACGUAGGGGGCUAGCGUUAUCCGGAUUUACUGGGCGUAAAGGGUGCGUAGGUGGUUUCUUAAGUCAGGAGUGAAAGGCUACGGCUCAACCGUAGUAAGCUCUUGAAACUGGGAAACUUGAGUGCAGGAGAGGAAAGUGGAAUUCCUAGUGUAGCGGUGAAAUGCGUAGAUAUUAGGAGGAACACCAGUAGCGAAGGCGGCUUUCUGGACUGUAACUGACACUGAGGCACGAAAGCGUGGGGAGCAAACAGG